rnacentral:rRNA from 1 species
UACGUAGGCAGCUAGCGUUGUUCGGCGUUAUUGGGCGUAAAGAGUGCGUAGGCGGUUUUCUAAGUUUGGUGUGAAAUCUCCCGGCUUAACUGGGAGGGUGCGCCGAAGACUGGAAGGCUUGAGUAUGGGAGAGGUAAGCGGAAUUCCUGGUGUAGCGGUGAAAUGCGUAGAUAUCAGGAGGAACACCUGCGGUGUAGACGGCUUACUGGACCAUAACUGACGCUGAGGCACGAAAGCGUGGGUAGCAAACAGG